rnacentral:lncRNA from 10 species
GGAUCAGGCGGAAGCCGGGGCCCGGGGCUGGGCUUCGUGUCCUGCGUUCCGGGAGCGCCAACCCCUCCAGGGAGAGGCUGUCGAUGCUGAGGCACGAGAGAAUUUGCUCCUGCUCCUCCAGAGAAAAUGGCUGGGACAGGCUGUUGAGGAAUAAUUCUGCAGGGAAAAGUGGAAGAUGGCUGUGAAAGACUGGGAGGAGGCUGGCUGUGUUUUCAGGGGUUCUUCCUGCACAGUCGGUAGAAGCUGAGCUGCUGGGGAAGGGGCUGGAAGAAAGCCCACACCGCAGGUAUCAGUAGCAAAUUCAAAAACUACAGAAUCAGCUCCAGAGGACUUUGUUAACAAGAAAGAGAAGAUUGAAAACAGCCCUGGGGCUACACCAACUCAAGAGCUCCCAGGCAAAGUGGCAUCCUGGACCCACCAUCUCUCCUACCCCAUCCUCAGUCGGUACUUCCCCAGGCACCGUUUGUUCUGGCAUGGGGCUAGUUCAGCCCUGGGACCACCCUCAUCCUUAUAACUACCAGCUGUCUUUGGUGAGGUGCAAGAUCUCUCUGGUUUUCUUUAUUUCAUUUUCAUUCCUAUAAUCACAGCCUUUUUUGUGCCCAUCCCUCAGGUGACAUUCUAUUAUGUUUGAUGUGUCAUUUUUGAUUUGGUUGUGUCCUUGCAAAAUGUGCGUUGUUUUAUUUAUCAAUUUAUUUUUAUUUUUAUUUUUUUAAAGAGAUGAGGUCUCAUCAUGUUGCCCAGGCUGGACUCCAACUCCUGGGCUCAAGCGAUCCUUCCACCUCAAUCUUCUGAGUGGCUGGGACUACAGAUGUGCGCCACCAUACCUGGCUAUUGAUCAAUUUUUAGUUUACCAAACAGGCAUUAUGUUCUGGGUCCCAUUCUGUGUCGGGUUCUCUUUUCACUCGGCA